GUUGGGNNNAGUUGUGGGGUCCAUUCCACGGAUUCCGUGACGCAGCUAACGCAUUAAGUUCCCCGCCUGGGGAGUACGGCCGCAAGGCUAAAACUCAAAGGAAUUGACGGGGACCCGCACAAGCGGCGGAGCAUGCGGAUUAAUUCGAUGCAACGCGAAGAACCUUACCAAGGCUUGACAUAUAGAGGAAACGGCUGGAAACAGUCGCCCCGCAAGGUCUCUAUACAGGUGGUGCAUGGUUGUCGUCAGCUCGUGUCGUGAGAUGUUGGGUUAAGUCCCGCAACGAGCGCAACCCUCGUUCUAUGUUGCCAGCACGUAAUGGUGGGAACUCAUGGGAUACUGCCGGGGUCAACUCGGAGGAAGGUGGGGAUGACGUCAAAUCAUCAUGCCCCUUAUGUCUUGGGCUUCACGCAUGCUACAAUGGCCGGUACAAAGGGCUGCAAUACCGUGAGGUGGAGCGAAUCCCAAAAAGCCGGUCCCAGUUCGGAUUGAGGUCUGCAACUCGACCUCAUGAAGUCGGAGUCGCUAGUAAUCGCAGAUCAGCAACGCUGCGGUGAAUACGUUCCCGGGUCUUGUACACACCGCCCGUCAAGUCAUGAAAGUCGGUAACACCUGAAGCCGGUGGCCCAACCCUUGUGGAGGGAGCCGUCGAAGGUGGGAUCGGUAAUUAGGACUAAGUCGUAACAAGGUAACCA
rnacentral:rRNA from 1 species